rnacentral:rRNA from 1 species
CUGGCUCAGAACGAACGUUUGCGGCGUGGAUUAGGCAUGCAAGUCGAACGGGAACCUGCGGGUUCAAUCCUUCGGGAGAGAACCUGUGGGGGAUAGUGGCGAAAGGGUGAGGAACACGUGGGUAAUCUGUCUUCAAGUUGGGGAUAGCUUCCUGAAAAGGGAGAUAAUACCGAAUGUGGUUAUCCUGCGCAUGCAGGGUGGACUAAAGGCGGGGAUCCUUCGGGGCCUGUCGCUUGACGAGGAGCCCGCGUCCUAUCAGCUUGUUGGUGAGGUAACGGCUCACCAAGGCUUUGACGGGUAGCUGGUCUGAGAGGAUGGUCAGCCACACUGGGACUGAGACACUGCCCAGACUCCUACGGGAGGCUGCAGUCGAGGAUCAUUCGCAAUGCGCGAAAGCGUGACGAUGCGACGCCGCGUGGAGGAUGACGGCCUUCGGGUUGUAAACUCCUGUCAUCUGGGAAAAGCCGUCCCACCCCUAAUACGGGCGGGGCCCGAUGGUACCAGAAGAGGAAGUCACGGCUAACUCUGUGCCAGCAGCCGCGGUAAUACAGAGGUGGCGAACGUUGUUCGGAUUUACUGGGCGUAAAGGGUGCGUAGGUGGUUGUUCAUGUCGGGUGUGAAAGCUCGCCGCUCAACGGCGAAAUUGCAUUCGAAACUGGGCAACUAGAGUACCGGAGAGGAAAGCGGAAUUCUCGGUGUAGCGGUGAAAUGCGUAGAUAUCGAGAGGAACACCGGUGGCGAAGGCGGCUUUCUGGACGGAUACUGACACUGAGGCACGAAAGCUGGGGGAGCAAACAGGAUUAGAUACCCUGGUAGUCCCAGCUGUAAACGGUGUCCACUUGGUGUGGGGGGAGUUGAUCCCCCCCGUGCUGGAGCUAACGCGUUAAGUGGACCGCCUGGGGAGUACGGCCGCAAGGCUAAAACUCAAAGAAAUUGACGGGGGCCCGCACAAGCGGAGGAGCAUGUGGCUUAAUUCGAUGCAACGCGAAGAACCUUACCAGGGCUUGACAUGCAGCUGCAAGCCCCCUGAAAGGGGGGCCGCCUUCGAGGGUGCUGCACAGGUGCUGCAUGGCUGUCGUCAGUUCGUGCUGUGAGGUGUUGGGUUAAGUCCCGCAACGAACGCAACCCCUGUGUCUAGUUGCCACCACCGGUGAUGAAUCGGUGAGCACUCCAGACAGACUGCCCGUGAUAAGCGGGAGGAAGGUGGGGAUGACGUCAAGUCCGUAUGGCCUUUAUGCCCUGGGCUGCACACGUGCUACAAUGGUCGGUAUAGAAGGAUGCAAUGCCGCAAGGUGGAGCAAAUCCCCAAAACCGGCCCCAGUUCGGAUUGGAGUCUGCAACUCGACUCCAUGAAGCCGGAUUCGCUAGUAACGGCGCAUCAGCUACGGCGCCGUGAAUACGUUCCCGGGCCUUGUACACACCGCCCGUCACAUCAUGAAAGCCAUCUGCACCCGAAGUCGCCGAUCCAACCCGUCAAGGGGGGAAGGUGCCGAAGGUGUGGGUGGUGAUUG